CUAGGUCGUCGAUCCUUUUUCUUUUUUGAGGGGAAAAACCAGACAACACACUACCUACUGCUAGGUAGGAGGAUAUAAUGACAACGAUUUGUAAGAAAUCCAGAGAUAUGAAUUAUAUAGAAAUUGUAGCGGUUUCUUUUCUUUUCUUUUUUUUGAAAAAGAGAGAAUUGAAUAUGUUAACUCCUGCGUACACACUUUAUCAAAGUUAUGCAAAAAAGGUAGCUCCACAUCAAAGCUGUAUAUAAGCGUACCCAUGCCCAGCCAGUUCCCAUAUGCGAGCUUCGGACAGACCAUCGAGGUAAAAGAAAUCGUGAGAUAGUUACUGAAUAUCAUACUUCGAAUAUAGUGCAUUUUAGCAAGAUUUUGGGCUGUCUUCCUUUCUCUCUUCGAAUAUAGCUAGACGCUUUUUAAACAUAAAUACAUCCAUAUUUAGGCAAAUUUAAGACAAGUAAUAUUUCGACAAUUAAUUGCAAUUGGAGUGAGUACAUAAAUCUCUCCUAUCUUUGUUUUAACAGGUGUAAAAUUAUACUACUAGAGGACGCCAUAUCAAGAGGAGCACACAUGGCAAGAAACAUAUUUAAUUAUUUUUUUGACGAAUCAGCAUAUGCUCUGCUUUUUUAAUUAAGUAGACGGAAAGUCUUUACAGAGGACAACUGAACGGGAAAAAUCAAAAAUAAAUAAAACAAACUAAAAGAACAGAACAAAAACUCUAUUCUGCCGCCGCCUCAAAAAGGCGAAGAUCAUAUCUAAUUAACCCUUCUAUAUUUCCACAGAUGCCAAGCAACAUACACUGCCGCUGUUGCAUGCAUUGCUCUUUUCCCCUGCUCCAGAGCUCAUGGCAGUCGGCAGAGACCAGGUUGGACCAUAUGGAGUUGGAGCUGGCUGCUAGGAGUGUUAUUGAUCUCAGGAAAACAAUUAUGGCAGAAGUGUAAACUGGAGUACAUGUGUUGGUCCCACGUAAACAGUCGUAGACAAAAUAUAGUCAUGUACAGCCUUGUUAUAUAAACACG
rnacentral:lncRNA from 1 species